rnacentral:sRNA from 1 species
UUGACAUCUCUGGAGGCUGAAGUCCUAUAUUUUUUCCACAGAUCAUAUACAGCCUGGUCAGAUAUAGCACAAGUUUCCACACCCUACUUGUCAAUAUGCUCAACCCCAGGGCCACCUCUAGGGGUGAAAUUCUCCAGGAAGAUCAAUCCAAUGGUUACA